CAGAUGGUGUGGUGGGGAUGCACUACCACUCGGAAGGGAUAUAAGGCGGCCGCCUUUGACAGAGGGUCCAGUCAUGUCACGAAUUUCCACCAUUCACAUUUGAAUACUCGCUGUACGCAUGCUCCGCAAUCAAAGAGAAGGGGUAAUGUAAGUGCGUUAGUCGAUCACUCAUUCAUUCAAUAAUCUAUACGAUUUGUAUCUGUUUAGAAUCAGAUGGUAUGGUGGGGAUACUCUGCCACCCGUGAAGUGAUAUAAGGCGGCCGCUGUUGACAGUUGGUCCAGUUAUGCCACGAAUUUCCACCAUUCACAUUUGAAAACUCGCAGUACGCACGCUCCACAAGUAAAGGAGAAGGGAAUCAAACGGUGUGGUGAGGAUAUUCUGCUACUCGUGAAGAGAUACAAGGAGACCGGCUUUGACAGUUUUCCAGAAUGCCAUGAAUAUUAACGAAAACUUAAAAACCUCUUUGCAGUCGCGCGCGUUGCAAUGAUGUAAUCGAGUGUUAGCAUCGCUAAAAUAAAUUUAUCGCGAUGUAGAAUCAGUGUUUGUUCGUUCGCGUUUCGCGACUUAAACCAUAAGUGUUUUUGCAAAGACUGCGCGCAAUGCAGUCGUUAGAGUCAGUGUUUGUUCGUAAAAGUUUUUGUUUUUCUAACAGUCGCACAGACUGUUCUUAUAAUAUAUAAUAGAGUUUCGCGAAAUAAAUUCAGUGUCCGUUCGUUAAUAAAUAUCUACCGCGAAUUAGAGUCAGUGCAUCACCGAAGAGGAUCUCGACCAACUUCGAUGUCGACCUACCUCAUUUUCAACCAACUACGAAUCAUCCACCCUCAAUUUCGACCUAAGUCGCGGUGCAGUGUUUUGGAGCCGUCGCAGAACUUCUAAAGUAGUAAGUUAAUUUUUAAAUUCCUCCUAUCACUCAAUCAUGCCGAGGACGAAAGGUCCGAAUCGGCACGAGUGAUUGGUUGUAAUUAAUUAGUAGAAGAGCAAUGAGUGACCACGAGUAAACUUCUUCGGAGAUUUACUCGUGAAUGGUUCGUUAUUUUUUGAUUUAUUUAUUAGAUCAGGAUAGAGUCUUCUUGCUUAAACGCGUUAAUUAUAAUUAUUUGAAAUUUCGAAUAUUUAAAUGCAUUUUGAAAUAACUUUCUCUCGCGAAAAUAGUAAAGUAUCGCGAUAUUCGCGAAUUUUAAUAAUGAAUAAGCAAGAAAACAUUCGCGAUGGAUAGUCUCUGGAUUACAAACGAAAUUAUAUAAUUUAUUUUGUAAUAAUUAGAGUAAUUGUUUGUAAGAAGGAGCAUCCAAUGACUUUUCAUAACAUUUUUAAUAAAGAUUAAGAAAUUGUGUUAAUAAAAGAAAAGUCUCAAUAGAGUCAUUGCUUUUGAAAGAAUAAAGUAGAGUAGAGUCAUUGAUAAAAGAUAAAGAGACUUGUAGAAUCACAACGCGUAGAACAUAGAAUAUGUUAAUCAAUUUUUAGCUUAGGAUUUUCAGCAAUUAAUAUAUUAAUUCUCGUUUCCCUUCCGAUGCUUUCUCGAUUUUUCGUUUCAGGUUUGGUUUAGAGUUGCUUUAGAUUCAUUAGUUUUUUUCUAUGUCUUAGAAAAUGAUCGGUUGUAGUUCUUUAGUACUGACGAUAGUUAUCGAAUGCGUUCUAUGGUUGUGGUUAGGGCACGAAGCAAAGAAGAGGCUAUAUGCCGAAGAGGCCCCCACAUAUUGUGGCUCAAGAGGGCAACUAUUAGAUUAUUGAGUUAUUUUCGAAGGUUCGACAGAACAUUUCGAGAAUGGCUCUUAAUCAUACUUUCAUUAUACCAUGUUGUCACUCAAAAUGCUCUUAUAUAAUGAUAAUAUUAUUUUUAGAAACUGAGACUACGUAACAUUCCGUCUCCCAUCUCACAUUGCCACGCGUCCGCGAAUAGAAUUUUUACAUAUUUUAUACAUUUUUAUUAUUAAAAUCAAGUAAUAAAUUUUUCGCAUUUUUCUUUCCUAAAAUUCAAUUAAAUCCGUAAUUUUAGUUUUAUAAAGUUAAGUUUUGUAUUAAAUUAAUAAUUUCGAAACGUAUAAAAUAUGGCAAUUGUGAGGACCACUGAAAGUGCACAUGGGAAUGAGAUAAGAACAUUUAAAUACAUAGCAUAUUCUUUACUUACUUUUACAGGUAGAAUACCUAACGGGAUUGCACUAUCACCGAGCGUAUAGCUGCACACUUUAAAUUAAACAAUUAUUUUAAAUAGUUGAUUAAAUUGUUGAUUAACUCCUCUAUCUUCUCUCGGGUGGGACCCUUGGGAGGGGCCCUCGGGUGUGGGCCUUAGGCGGGUUCGUUCUUUCACUAAGGAAAAGUUAGAUUCAAUUAUUGUAUUCUGAUUUUCGAAUGAACCGCUCUUCGAGAUACACAUUCAUCAUUCUGAAUUCUAUUUUUCUCACGCGCACAUAGACAAAUAUUAUAUCUGUUUCUCUGUUACAGGUUAGAUCAUCGAGGGACCGAUCAUCGUGAAAUUAAAUUUUUACAGGGAAGUUUUUGAAUAUAAAUAUCUUUUUGCAUUUAAUUUUGCAGAUAAUUUUUGCUCUUAUAUUUAAUUUUUAUUAUCUUUUUAAUUUUUGCUCUUAUAUUUAAUUAUUACUAACUUUUUAAUUUUUGUACUUAUAUUUAAUUUUUGUUAUUAACAUUUUAAUUUUUGCACUUUAUUUAUUUCUUGCUUUAUUUUAUUCUGUUUCAGGUUAGGUGAUCGAGAGACCGAUCAUCGCGAAA